UGCUGACAUGCUCAGAACAAGAUGGUUCCC
rnacentral:piRNA from 1 species